AUUGAACGCUGGCGGCGGGCCUAACACAUGCAAGUCGAACGAGUGGCGGACGGGUGAGUAAGGUCUGGGAAAAUGGCUUAUGGAGGGGGAUAAGGACGGGAAACUGUCGCUACUACCGCGUAACGUAGGAUGAGCCCAAGUGGGAUUAGGGAGUUGGUGGGGUAUUGGCUCACCAAGACGACGCUCUCUAGCUGGUCUGAGAGGAUGACCAGCCACACCGGGACUGAGACACGGCCCAGACUCCUACGGGAGGCAGCAGUGGGGAAUAUUGCGCAAUGGGCGCAAGUCUGACCCAGCCAUGCCGCGUGAAUGAAGAAGGUCUUCGGGUUGUAAAGUUCUUUCGUUGGCGAGGCGUUAAUCACAGAAGAAGCACCGGCUAACUCCGUGCCAGCAGCCGCGGUAAUAC
rnacentral:rRNA from 1 species